rnacentral:rRNA from 1 species
UACGUAGGGUGCGAGCGUUAAUCGGAAUUACUGGGCGUAAAGCGUGCGCAGGCGGUUAUUUAAGUCAGGUGUGAAAGCCCUGGGCUUAACCUAGGAAUUGCGCUUGAGACUGGAUAGCUUGGAGUGCGGCAGAGGGAGGUGGAAUUCCACGUGUAGCAGUGAAAUGCGUAGAGAUCCGGAGGAACACCGACGGCGUAGGCAGCGCCCUGGACGACACCUGACGCUGAGGCACGAAGGCCAGGGGAGCGAACGGGG